GAUGAAGAACGUAGCAAAAUGCGAUAAGUAAUGUGAAUUGCAGAAUUCAGUGAAUCAUCGAAUCUUUGAACGCACAUUGCGCCCGCCAGUAUUCUGGCGGGCAUGCCUGUUCGAGCGUCAUUUCAACCCUCAAGCACAGCUUGGUGUUGGGACUCGCGUUAAUUCGCGUUCCCCAAAUUGAUUGGCGGUCACGUCGAGCUUCCAUAGCGUAGUAGUAAAACCCUCGUUACUGGUAAUCGUCGCGGCCACGCCGUUAAACCCCAACUUCUGAAUGUUGACCUCGGAUCAUGUAGGAAUACCCGCUGAACUUAAGCAUAUCAAUAAGCGGAGA
rnacentral:misc_RNA from 1 species